UGGGGAAUAUUGGACAAUGGGCGAAAGCCUGAUCCAGCCAUGCCGCGUGAGUGAUGAAGGCCCUAGGGUUGUAAAGCUCUUUUGUGCGGGAAGAUAAUGACGGUACCGCAAGAAUAAGCCCCGGCUAACUUCGUGCCAGCAGCCGCGGUAAUACGAAGGGGGCUAGCGUUGCUCGGAAUCACUGGGCGUAAAGGGUGCGUAGGCGGGUUUCUAAGUCAGAGGUGAAAGCCUGGAGCUCAACUCCAGAACUGCCUUUGAUACUGGAAGUCUUGAGUAUGGGAGAGGUGAGUGGAACUGCGAGUGUAGAGGUGAAAUUCGUAGAUAUUCGCAAGAACACCAGUGGCGAAGGCGGCUCACUGGCCCAUUACUGACGCUGAGGCACGAAAAGCGUGGGGAGCAAACAGGAUUAGAUACCCUGGUAGUCCACGCCGUAAAACGAUGAAUGCCAGCCGUUAGUGGGUUUACUCACUAGUGGCGCAGCUAACGCUUUAAGCAUUCCGCCUGGGGAGUACGGUCGCAAGAUUAAAAACUUAAAGGAAUUGACGGGGUCAUAGCUGUUUCCU
rnacentral:rRNA from 1 species